AAGCAAGAAUGAAGAGAAGAACAAAGAAGAAAAAAAUGAGAACAAGAAAGGUAGGAAACAAGGAGAAGAAAAAGGAGAAGAAAAGACACGGAAAAAAAGAGGAAAGGAUAAGCUUCCAAUGUACUUGCGUUCACCUUUCAUGGUUGAACAUGAAAAACUUUUCAAGAAUGUGGACAAUAGAAAGGUAGCUGAGUAUGCGUUUGCUCAAGGAGAUAAUAAGGAGCUUUUGUAUGCUGAUAACAUGGGGACAACGAUUACGAGAGAUGAGAUUCAUAGUCUCAUAGAAGCUAAGCACAUGUUGAACAAUGUUGUGGAUGCUUAUGUUUGCCUAUUGAAUUUUGAAAAUAAAAGACGUGGUGUAGACAAGAAGAGUAGAUUCUUUGUCACUACUGAAUGCUAUGUAUGUUUUCGAACUUAAAAUUAUAACUAUGUUCUAAGAGUAGAUUCUUUUUGUUUCUCAUAUAGAUUAUACUAUGCACCUAUGUUCUAAUUACUUAUG